rnacentral:tmRNA from 1 species
GGGGGCGUACUGGCUUCGACGUGGAUCGGACGUACCCUGGGGCAUGCCGAGCAGACAGCAUCACUCGUAAAACCCUGCUGUAAACUGUUAGUUGCCAACGACGACAACUACGCACUGGCCGCCUAAAAACCGGCCUGCUCCCGACCGGUUGAGCCUGCGCUUCCGAAUCGGGAUCAUUGAGCAGGAUCGCGUUGUGUCGCGUUUCAGGGCAUGGCGUUAAAUCACACUGGAACUGGUCGUUGCAUGUGCCCUGCCCCUCGGGCGGUGUGACGACGAGAAACAAUCGAGCGGGCUAAGCAUGUAGAACCAGGAUCAGAUGGUUCGCGGACGGGGGUUCGACUCCCCCCGCCUCCACCA